UGAGACGGUUGGAAACUGACCUGUUAUAACUGAGGUUAAGUUUUCACUCCGGGGCUACAUUGGCAGAGACAGUGUGCUCAGGCUAGAUUUCAGGAGAGCUGCUCCUGUGUACUCCCCCAGCACCCAGACUCACCUUAUAUUCGUGAGUGAACUGAUGUUCAUGAACAUGAGCUUAUAAAUGUGUUGUUUAUCAUGAAGUAUCACGGACUAUCGUUAAGUCUGUUUCCUGUGUCUCUCAAGAGAUGAAGGAGAAAAGGCCUAUCUCUGUCGAUGUUGAAUCAUGGGAGCAGGGAGUAUCCUGAGUAGGACUGAGAGGUUCAGAAAGGAGUCAGGCUCAAGCUUCAAGGGGAUGUGUGCCUGACCACCCACCAGCCAACAGUGCAACUCUGGAUACUCCAGCCAUGAUGUCCUGGUCAUGCUAGUCAAGAAUGGUUCCCUCAUCCCAGCCCCUGACUUGGGUUUGCAACAUGUCCUGGAACCUGGACCACCAGCACCAGAUGCUGCUGCUACAAAAUUCCUGAACAAGAUGCGAAAGUGUUUCAGCUGAGCCUUGAGAGGUGAAAGUACCUGUGCACCUGUCCCCUGGAUGGGACAACUUGAGGAAGGGCCAUCCAUAUUCCCAUUCCCUACCCAGGACACUGCUAAUGUGCAUAUGAGGAGAACACAAGACCCCAACCUGCUGCAGGGUGGAGAGUAGAGACAACUGGAGCUUUCCGCAUAACACUUGUGCAUUCCUUCUGCAGGCUUCAAAAGCCUAAUCUGUGAUUUUAGACACAAGACAGGAGGAGACUGAGAGGUGAAUGCUGGCCAGUCCUGUGUGUUCUGCCAGGGUAGUGACUGGCAAAUGAUGUUCCACUGACUAGAUUGUUGGAUAGUAAUUGUUGUAGUCCAAGAGACUCUUUGACAAGUCAAGAGUGUGUACAUCUGGAGCAUUCUG
rnacentral:lncRNA from 1 species